GCCUCGGUGGCGGAACUGGUAGACGCGUCAGACUUAAAAUCUGAUAGUAGCAAUACUGUGUGGGUUCGAUUCCCGCCCGAGGCACCA
rnacentral:tRNA from 1 species